rnacentral:misc_RNA from 1 species
GAACAAAAAUCGAUGUGUCGCUUUUUUUAAGCGACGCGUCGGAAUUGGGUCCUUCUUAAAUCCUUUUUUAAGUGACCUAAAAUUUACGCGUUUCGGUAUGAUUGCGUACUUAAAAAUCUUUCGUCGUUUGAGUAUCGAACUCUAUUAGAUCGUGACCAUCGUGAUGGUAUCGCGUCUAUAAUUUUUUUUGAAU